GUGCACACUCUGGCAGCACAUAUACUAAAACUGGAACAAUACAGAGAAGAUUAGCAUGGCCCCUAUGCAUGGAUAGAUGACACACAAAUUCAUGAAGUGGGCCAUAUUUAA